rnacentral:rRNA from 1 species
GAUGAACGCUAGCUACAGGCUUAACACAUGCAAGUCGAGGGGAAACGGCAUCGAAAGCUUGCUUUUGAUGGGCGUCGACCGGCGCACGGGUGAGUAACGCGUAUCCAACCUGCCCAUCACUUGGGAAUAACCUUGCGAAAGUAAGACUAAUGCCCAAUGACAUCCCACGAAGGCAUCCGAAUGGGAUUAAAGAUUUAUCGGUGAUGGAUGGGGAUGCGUCUGAUUAGCUUGUUGGCGGGGUGACGGCCCACCAAGGCAACGAUCAGUAGGGGUUCUGAGAGGAAGGUCCCCCACAAUGGAACCGCGACACGGUCCAAAAUCCUACGGGAGGCAGCAGUGAGGAAUAUUUGUCAAUGGGCGAGAGCCUGAACCAGCCAAGUAGCGUGCAGGAUGACGGCCCUAUGGGUUGUAAACUGCUUUUAUAAGGGAAUAAAGUGGGUCACGUGUGACUUUUUGCAUGUACCUUAUGAAUAAGGACCGGCUAAUUCCGUG